rnacentral:rRNA from 1 species
GAUGAACGCUGGCGGCGUGCCUAAUACAUGCAAGUCGAGCGAACAGACGAGGAGCUUGCUCCUCUGACGUUAGCGGCGGACGGGUGAGUAACACGUGGAUAACCUACCUAUAAGACUGAGAUAACUUCGGGAAACCGGAGCUAAUACCGGAUAAUAUAUUGAACCGCAUGGUUCAAUAGUGAAAGACGGUUUUGCUGUCACUUAUAGAUGGAUCCGCGCCGCAUUAGCUAGUUGGUAAGGUAACGGCUUACCAAGGCGACGAUGCGUAGCCGACCUGAGAGGGUGAUCGGCCACACUGGAACUGAGACACGGUCCAGACUCCUACGGGAGGCAGCAGUAGGGAAUCUUUCGCAAUGGGCGAAAGCCUGACGGAGCAACGCCGCGUGAGUGAUGAAGGUCUUCGGAUCGUAAAACUCUGUUAUUAGGGAAGAACAAAUGUGUAAGUAACUAUGCACGUCUUGACGGUACCUAAUCAGAAAGCCACGGCUAACUACGUG